UAGAGUUUGAUCCUGGCUCAGAUUGAACGCCGGCGGCAUGCCUUACACAUGCAAGUCGGACGGCAGCGCGGGCUUCGGCCUGGCGGCGAGUGGCGAACGGGUGAGUAAUACAUCGGAACGUGUCCUGGAGUGGGGGAUAGCCCGGCGAAAGCCGGAUUAAUACCGCAUACGCUCUGCGGAGGAAAGCGGGGGACCUUCGGGCCUCGCGCUCAAGGGGCGGCCGAUGGCAGAUUAGCUAGUUGGUGGGGUAAAGGCCUACCAAGGCGACGAUCUGUAGCUGGUCUGAGAGGACGACCAGCCACACUGGGACUGAGACACGGCCCAGACUCCUACGGGAGGCAGCAGUGGGGAAUUUUGGACAAUGGGGGCAACCCUGAUCCAGCAAUGCCGCGUGUGUGAAGAAGGCCUUCGGGUUGUAAAGCACUUUUGUCCGGAAAGAAAGCGUCCUGGCUAAUACCCGGGGCGGAUGACGGUACCGGAAGAAUAAGCACCGGCUAACUACGUGCCAGCAGCCGCGGUAAUACGUAGGGUGCGAGCGUUAAUCGGAAUUACUGGGCGUAAAGCGUGCGCAGGCGGUUCGCUAAGACCGAUGUGAAAUCCCCGGGCUUAACCUGGGAACUGCAUUGGUGACUGGCGGGCUAGAGUAUGGCAGAGGGAGGUAGAAUUCCACGUGUAGCAGUGAAAUGCGUAGAGAUGUGGAGGAAUACCGAUGGCGAAGGCAGCCUCCUGGGCCAAUACUGACGCUCAUGCACG
rnacentral:rRNA from 1 species